rnacentral:rRNA from 1 species
UACCAGCACCCGAGUGGUCGGGACGAUUAUUGGGCCUAAGCAUCCGUAGCCGGCCUUACAAGUCCUCCGUUAAAUCCAGCUGCUUAACAGAUGGGCUGCGGAGGAUACUAUAAGACUAGGAGGCAGGAGAGGCAAGCGGUACUCAGUGGGUAGGGGUAAAAUCCGUUGAUCCAUUGAAGACCACCAGUGGCGAAGGCGGCUUGCCAGAAUGC